rnacentral:rRNA from 1 species
GUGAGCAACCUGCCCCGGACUCUGGGAUAAGCGCUGGAAACGGCGUCUAAUACCGGAUAUGAGACGAGACCGCAUGGUCAUCGUUUGGAAAGAUUUUUCGGUCUGGGAUGGGCUCGCGGCCUAUCAGCUUGUUGGUGAGGUAAUGGCUCACCAAGGCGUCGACGGGUAGCCGGCCUGAGAGGGUGACCGGCCACACUGGGACUGAGACACGGCCCAGACUCCUACGGGAGGCAGCAGUGGGGAAUAUUGCACAAUGGGCGGAAGCCUGAUGCAGCAACGCCGCGUGAGGGAUGACGGCCUUCGGGUUGUAAACCUCUUUUAGCAGGGAAGAAGCGAAAGUGACGGUACCUGCAGAAAAAGCGCCGGCUAACUACGUGCCAGCAGCCGCGGUAAUACGUAGGGCGCAAGCGUUAUCC